GACGAACGCUGGCGGCGUGCCUAAUACAUGCAAGUAGAACGCUGAAGGAGGAGCUUGCUUCUCUGGAUGAGUUGCGAACGGGUGAGUAACGCGUAGGUAACCUGCCUGGUAGCGGGGGAUAACUAUUGGAAACGAUAGCUAAUACCGCAUAAUAGCAGUUAUUGCAUGAUAACUGUUUGAAAGGUGCAAUUGCACCACUACCAGAUGGACCUGCGUUGUAUUAGCUAGUUGGUGGGGUAACGGCUCACCAAGGCGACGAUACAUAGCCGACCUGAGAGGGUGAUCGGCCACACUGGGACUGAGACACGGCCCAGACUCCUACGGGAGGCAGCAGUAGGGAAUCUUCGGCAAUGGACGGAAGUCUGACCGAGCAACGCCGCGUGAGUGAAGAAGGUUUUCGGAUCGUAAAGCUCUGUUGUAAGAGAAGAACGAGUGUGAGAGUGGAAAGUUUCACACUGUGACGG
rnacentral:rRNA from 1 species